rnacentral:rRNA from 1 species
GUGGGGAAUAUUGGGCAAUGGGCGAAAGCCUGACCCAGCAACGCCGCGUGAAGGAAGAAGGUCUUCGGAUCGUAAACUUCUAUCCUUGGUGAAGAUAAUGACGGUAGCCGAGAAGGAAGCCCCGGCUAACUACGUGCCAGCAGCCGCGGUAAUACGUAGGGGGCAAGCGUUGUCCGGAAUGAUUGGGCGUAAAGGGCGCGUAGGCGGCCUGGUAAGUCUGGAGUGAAAGUCCUGCUUUUAAGGUGGGAAUUGCUUUGGAUACUGUCGGGCUUGAGUGCAGGAGAGGUAAGUGGAAUUCCCGGUGUAGCGGUGAAAUGCGUAGAGAUCGGGAGGAACACCAGUGGCGAAGGCGACUUACUGGACUGUAACUGACGCUGAGGCGCGAAAGUGUGGCGAGCAAACAGGAUUAGAAACCCUGGUAGUCC